GCAGGCCUAACACAUGCAAGUCGAGCGGAAACGAAGGGGUGCUUGCACCUCUGGCGUCGAGCGGCGGACGGGUGAGUAAUGCUUGGGAAUAUGCCUUAUGGUGGGGGACAACAGUUGGAAACGACUGCUAAUACCGCAUGAUGUCUACGGACCAAAGUGGGGGACCUUCGGGCCUCACGCCAUAAGAUUAGCCCAAGUGGGAUUAGCUAGUUGGUGAGGUAAUGGCUCACCAAGGCGACGAUCCCUAGCUGGUUUGAGAGGAUGAUCAGCCACACUGGGACUGAGACACGGCCCAGACUCCUACGGGAGGCAGCAGUGGGGAAUAUUGCACAAUGGGCGCAAGCCUGAUGCAGCCAUGCCGCGUGUGUGAAGAAGGCCUUCGGGUUGUAAAGCACUUUCAGUAAGGAGGAAAGGUUAAGUGUUAAUAGCACUUAGCUGUGACGUUACUUACAGAAGAAGCACCGGCUAACUCCGUGCCAGCAGCCGCGGUAAUACGGAGGGUGCGAGCGUUAAUCGGAAUUACUGGGCGUAAAGCGUACGCAGGCGGUUUGUUAAGCGAAAUGUGAAAGCCCCGGGCUCAACCUGGGAA
rnacentral:rRNA from 1 species